UUUGAUCCUGGCUCAGAUUGAACGCUGGCGGCAGGCCUAACACAUGCAAGUCGAGCGGAAACGAGUUAUCUGAACCUUCGGGGAACGAUAACGGCGUCGAGCGGCGGACGGGUGAGUAAUGCCUAGGAAAUUGCCUUGAUGUGGGGGAUAACCAUUGGAAACGAUGGCUAAUACCGCAUGAUGCCUACGGGCCAAAGAGGGGGACCUUCGGGCCUCUCGCGUCAAGAUAUGCCUAGGUGGGAUUAGCUAGUUGGUGAGGUAAUGGCUCACCAAGGCGACGAUCCCUAGCUGGUCUGAGAGGAUGAUCAGCCACACUGGAACUGAGACACGGUCCAGACUCCUACGGGAGGCAGCAGUGGGGAAUAUUGCACAAUGGGCGCAAGCCUGAUGCAGCCAUGCCGCGUGUAUGAAGAAGGCCUUCGGGUUGUAAAGUACUUUCAGCAGUGAGGAAGGGGGUGUCGUUAAUAGC
rnacentral:rRNA from 1 species